GACAGAGGAUGCAAGCGUUAUCCGGAAUGAUUGGGCGUAAAGCGUCUGUAGGUGGCUUUUAAGUCCGCCGUCAGAUCCCAGGGCUCAACCCUGGACAGGCGGUGGAAACUACCAAGCUGGAGUACGGUAGGGGCAGAGGGAAUUCCGGUGGAGCGGUGGAAAUGCGUAGAGAUCGGAAAGAACACCAACGGCGAAAGCAACUCUGCUGGGCCGACACUGACACUGAGAGACGAAAGCUAGGG
rnacentral:rRNA from 1 species